GACGAACGCUGGCGGCGUGCUUAACACAUGCAAGUCGAGCGAUGAAGCUCCUUCGGGAGUGGAUUAGCGGCGGACGGGUGAGUAACACGUGGGUAACCUGCCUCAUAGAGGGGAAUAGCCUUCCGAAAGGAAGAUUAAUACCGCAUAAGAUUGUAGUACCGCAUGGUACAGCAAUUAAAGGAGCAAUCCGCUAUGAGAUGGACCCGCGUCGCAUUAGCUAGUUGGUGAGGUAACGGCUCACCAAGGCGACGAUGCGUAGCCGACCUGAGAGGGUGAUCGGCCACAUUGGGACUGAGACACGGCCCAGACUCCUACGGGAGGCAGCAGUGGGGAAUAUUGCACAAUGGGGGAAACCCUGAUGCAGCAACGCCGCGUGAGUGAUGACGGUCUUCGGAUUGUAAAGCUCUGUCUUUAGGGACGAUAAUGACGGUACCUAAGGAGGAAGCCACGGCUAACUACGUGCCAGCCGCCGCAGUAAGAC
rnacentral:rRNA from 1 species